ACCGCAUGGAAGAGCAUACUGUUUUCCAGCCUCUCCUAUUUCCUCCAACUUCCUGUUUGUCCGUUGUCAGCCACUGUGGGACAAGGGAAUGGGAUCUUAAGGGACUUCCUUAUUGGAACCUCAUCAUGACGUCCAGAAACAGGAGAAAUGGUCUCUGUCAUUUUACACCAUGGAGGUUUGAGCUCUUGGCAAGGACAAUUCUUCCCUCUUUGGCCAUGUUCGGGUCUGGCCAUUUAUGUGAACUUCAACUGAGCCUCCAUGAGUUUGAUUUUCCAGUUCGUUUCUCUUCGUUGUUCAGG
rnacentral:lncRNA from 1 species